GCAGCCGAAAAAGGCGCGGAUGCUUUAUCCCUGGGGCUGCCCUAAGAGAGGUGACCGUACCAGCGGGAACCCGAAGAUGUAUGGCAGAGCCUGGCACCGAACCACCUCCCCUGAGGACGCCUCGUAACUCUGCGGCUCCUCCUGAACUGGCUUGGGGCGGUCUCUCCUUCAGGCCUUGCCCUUGCGAGGACUUAACAGAGACCAGGCCAGCAGGACCCAGUACCCAUCCAUGGGAGCCGUCUGGAUGAAAUAACUUAUUUUAUAAUUGCUUUACUAACUGCUGAGACUGAGACUCACUGAAAGAACUUGCACAAAAUCAACUUUUAAAAGGCAGGCCAGGUCUACUGGAACCCAGGUCUUUAAGCCUUGAAAGACAAUGCAGCAUGCCUGGAAAAAGAAAAGGUUUUGGGAGCAGACACCUGAGCUCAGUGUUGCCUCAGGACUUCAUGCUAGCCCUGGGCCACAGGUACUUCAGCUCACACUGGACUUGGAGCCCGACCCCACCCAGCUUCCCACUGCCAUCUGGUGGUCAUCCGGAGCCCAGGGCCCAGCUCCUGAUGGGCCUUCAUCAACAAUCUCCUUCAGAGUGCUGCAAAGCCUGUGGGCAACCCUACUUCCGCCCCUGAAAAAGUUGGCAUGAGAGAGAAAGGCCCAAUAUCUUGCCUCCAGUAAGUCGGACCAGCUGGGAUUCUAUUUUUAACCUGCACUGUUGUAGUUGACAGCUUGGAACGCCUUCUCCCUCCUUUUCUUCCUGCAUCCUGCCUCUUGCAGCCCAGGGCCCUGUAGAAAGGAUGGAUGGGAGCAGCCUCAGCACUGGUAAACAAAAGACCACUCUCCUUUCUCAUUGUCCUUCACCUGGCCUUUGUCCAGCCUAGUUAGUGGGUGGAGUUAGAGGUGUUACUGGCUGUGAGGUUAACAGAGGCUUAAAUCUCUGGGCUUCUCACUGCAUAGGCGCCUUCCGUGGCCCUGGUCAGUGUCCUGGCAAUUUUGUAUCUGUCAUUUUGUAUUCUUUUUCUUAAAAAGGGCACCCGGUUUUAUAAGCUCCAGGCCCCACAAAACUUGGGUCUGCCUCAUGAUGGGUAUGGCUUGUUUGCCAUCUGAGCUUAGUGUCUACUUCAAUAGGAUUAUUUCUGUCUUGUUCUAAUUUAUUGUAUGACCUUGAACAGCUUUCUUUCCUGCUCUGGGUCUCUAUUUUCCCAUCUGUUACAAGACAAAGUGUCAAGAAACCCUCUCACUCUAUCAUACUUCUGAUUAUCCAUGUAUAUCCCUGGUGAGGUCACCUGUUCUUCCCUACCUGUCAUUGUGUGUGUGAAGGGAUGAUGUUGCUGUCUCUGCCUCUCUCUGGGGCUGGAUCAGUCUCAUAGUCAAAAGGAAGCCUGGGCUCUGGGAUUCCUCUUAUUCAGAUCCAGCAUUCUCCCCACCUUUGUUGCUGGCCAGUAAAGGUGCUUCCAUGGGGCAGAAGCUUGGCCAGAUUCUGACACCAGAGAAGAGUGCAUUAAAAAAGUUCCUACUCUUUAACUUGUACACUUAUGAUCUGAGUCCUGGUAUUUGAAACACACAUUGAAUAAACUGAGUCUUAUUAUACAGUGCUUCCACUUACAUUUCAAUAAAAUUUUAGUAAUUACCUAUUAAUAUAGUACCUUAGCAAUGGCACCACUUUAGGAGAAUGCUUAGGAAUCAUGAUGUGUCAUGGAUAUUCCGCCUGCCACCCCCAUCCCCAGCUACUAUGUAUGACACUAGUGUGUAGGUGGGUCCAGGAUGACAACCCAGACAAAAUACCCACAUCCCCAUUUAGCCUCAGACCAUGGGCAUUUUGGCAGGGGGUCAU